AACAAAGGCUCCAGCACUGAGGAACAUUUCCAGAAUUUUAUCCUUUGACAUGUCCCAAGAAACAGAAUGUAGAUACCAACUAAAUUAACGCCAACUCUUCAAGGCUUUAGGAGGUGAAAUAUCUACCAUCAGAGAAAUAAUAGAGAGAGAAUCCUGGUGAUGGGAAGAAAGAACAGAAGUUGAUUGAUCAGACUGGAGUAUACUAAGGACAAUCAAUGAUCACCUUGGCCAGCAAACAUCCCAGCUUUUCCAUCCCUCCCAAAUGAACAGAAUACGGCUCUACAAAUCUCAGAAAAGCAAUAAAACCAUCUGAAAAGUAA